rnacentral:ncRNA from 2 species
CAUAUGGCAAAGGGAAUAGGUGCCUUGCGGCUUAAUAGGGAAGUCCGGUGAAAAACCGGCACGGUCCCGCCACUGUAAUGGGGAGUCUGGCUGCGUUAUGCCACUGGAGCAAUCUGGGAAGGUGCGGCUAGCAAUGAACCAGAGUCAGGAGACCUGCCUAUUCUAACACACACCG